rnacentral:pre_miRNA from 1 species
UUGCUGUGAAAGACUUGAGUAGUGAGACGCUUAUAGCGUUGUUGUCUGCGGUUCGGCGCCUCAUACUAAGUCUUUCCCGGCUCA